CACUGAACUAUUAUGCAUAUUUUUAGGGGCCAGCUUAAGGACACCUACAGCUGCGGGAAUUCUCGCUACAUUGGAGACCCUUUGGUUGCCUUCGGCUGUUGUCUGCUCUAUGGUCGGGUGGUUGUCGCUUUGACAUAUUCACCAUUUCCUUUCUCAAUUUUAAUAACUAUGUUUCUGAUCUAAUUUUGUAUUCUAUAAACGGCAUCUAUAUAUUUACACUACAAAUCUACAACUCUCAGUCUAUGGCUACACGUGCUGAUCUUAUCUAUAUUCAUGCAUAAUAU
rnacentral:lncRNA from 1 species